rnacentral:tmRNA from 1 species
GGGGCUGACUUGGAUUUCGACAGAUUUCUUGUCGCACAGAUAGCAUGCCAAGCGCUACUUGUAAAACAGCAACAAAAAUAACUGUAAACAACGCAGAUUACGCUCCAGCUUACGCUAAAGUUGCGUGAGUUAAUCUCCUUUUGGAGCUGGACUGAUUAGAAUUUCUAGCGUUUUAAUCACUCCAUAAUCUUAAGCUAGACGCUUUUAAAAGGUGGUUCGCCUUUUAAACUAAGAAACAAGAACUCUUGAAACUACCUCAAGGUUUUAGAAAGUUGGACCAGAGCUAGUUUUAAGGCUAAAAAGCUAACCAAUUUUCUAAGCAUUGUAGAAGUUUGUGUUUAGGGCAAGAUUUUUGGACUGGGGUUCGAUUCCCCACAGCUCCACCA